AAAGGCGUAAGCGAUGGACAAUCGGUUGAUAUUCCGAUACCACUAUUAUCGUUAUUAUCGAUGGUGUGACGGAGAAGGAUAGGAUGUGCUAGCUAUUGGAUGCUAGUCUAAGCGUUUAGGGAGUUAGAAUAGGCAAAUCCGUUCUAACAAUUCUGAGGCGUGAUGGGGAAGGUUCUAAGGAACCGAAGUAUCUGAUUCCAUGCUUCCAAGAAAAGCAUCUAGAAAGAGAAAUAGUGCCCGUACCGCAAACCGACACAGGUAGGUGAGGAGAGAAUCCUAAGGCCGGCGGAAGAAUUGCAGUUAAGGAACUAGGCAAAUUGACCCCGUAACUUCGGGAGAAGGGGUGCCUGCGAGAGCAGGCCGCAGAGAAUAGGCACAAGCAACUGUUUAACAAAAACACAGGUCUCUGCUAAAGCGAAAGCUGAUGUAUAGGGGCUGACGCCUGCCCGGUGCUGGAAGGUUAAGGGGAACACUUAGCGUAAGCGAAGGUGUGAACUUAAGCCCCAGUAAACGGCGGCCGUAACUAUAACGGUCCUAAGGUAGCGAAAUUCCUUGUCAGGUAAGUUCUGACCCGCACGAAUGGCGUAAUGACUUGUGCACUGUCUCAACUGCAAAUCCGGCGAAGUUGUAGUGCGAGUGAAGAUGCUCGCUACCCGCGAUUGGACGGAAAGACCCCGUAGAGCUUUACUGUAGCUUAGCAUUGAAUUUCGGUAUUGUCUGUACAGGAUAGGUGGGAGACUGGGAAAUCAGAGCGUCAGCUUUGAUGGAGUCAUCCUUGGGAUACCACCCUGAUAGUACUGGAAUUCUAACUGGAUGCCAUGAAUCUGGUGACAGGACAUUGUUAGGUGGGCAGUUUGACUGGGGCGGUCGCCUCCUAAAAAGUAACGGAGGCGCCCAAAGGUUCCCUCAGAACGGUCGGAAAUCGUUCGUAGAGUGCAAAGGCAUAAGGGAGCCUGACUGCGAGACCUACAAGUCGAGCAGGGACGAAAGUCGGGCUUAGUGAUCCGGUGGUACCUCGUGGGAGGGCCAUCGCUCAACGGAUAAAAGCUACCUCGGGGAUAACAGGCUGAUCUCCCCCAAGAGUUCACAUCGACGGGGAGGUUUGGCACCUCGAUGUCGGCUCGUCGCAUCCUGGGGCUGAAGUAGGUCCCAAGGGUUGGGCUGUUCGCCCAUUAAAGCGGCACGCGAGCUGGGUUCAGAACGUCGUGAGACAGUUCGGUCCCUAUCCGUCGCGGGCGCAGGAAAUUUGAGAAGAGCUGUCCUUAGUACGAGAGGACCGGGAUGGACCGACCUAUGGUGUACCAGUUGUUUCGCCAGAAGCAUAGCUGGGUAGCUAAGUCGGGACGGGAUAAACGCUGAAAGCAUCUAAGCGUGAAGCCUCCUUCAAGAUGAGAUUUCCCAUAGCGUAAGCUAGUAAGACCCCUUGAAGACUACAAGGUUGAUAGGUCAGAGGUGUAAGUGUGGCAACAUAUUUAGCUGACUGAUACUAAUAGGUCGAGGGCUUGACCAAUAA
rnacentral:rRNA from 1 species